GAUGAACGCUGGCGGCGUGCUUAACACAUGCAAGUCGAACGAGAAAUGUAGACGGAAACCUUCGGGCGGAAGCCUUCAUUUCGAGUGGCGGACGGGUGAGUAACGCGUGGGUAACCUGCCUCAUACAGGGGGAUAACAGUUGGAAACGACUGUUAAUACCGCAUAAGACCACAGCAUCGCAUGAUGCGGGGGUAAAAACUCCGGUGGUAUGAGAUGGACCCGCGUUCGAUUAGCCAGUUGGCGGGGUAACGGCCCACCAAAGCGACGAUCGAUAGCCGAUCUGAGAGGAUGACCGGCCACAUUGGGACUGAGACACGGCCCAAACUCCUACGGGAGGCAGCAGUGGGGAAUAUUGCACAAUGGGGGAAACCCUGAUGCAGCGACGCCGCGUGAGUGAAGAAGUACUUCGGUAUGUAAAGCUCUAUCAGCAGGGAAGAAAAUGACGGUACCUGAGUAAGAAGCCCCGGCUAACUAUGUG
rnacentral:rRNA from 1 species